rnacentral:rRNA from 1 species
GACGAACGCUGGCGGCGUGCUUAACACAUGCAAGUCGAGCGACGCUCCUCCUUCGGGAGGAUGACGGAGCGGCGAACGGGUGAGUAACACGUGGGCAACCUGCCCCUAGCUCUGGGAUAAGCCCGGGAAACCGGGUCUAAUACCGGAUAUGAGUUCGGAAGGCAUCUUCUGACCUGGAAAGUUUUUCGGCUAGGGAUGGGCCCGCGGCCUAUCAGCUUGUUGGUGAGGUAACGGCCCACCAAGGCGACGACGGGUAGCCGGCCUGAGAGGGCGACCGGCCACACUGGGACUGAGACACGGCCCAGACUCCUACGGGAGGCAGCAGUGGGGAAUAUUGCACAAUGGGCGAAAGCCUGAUGCAGCGACGCCGCGUGAGGGAUGACUGCCUUCGGUUGUAAACCUCUUCAGCAGGGACGAAGCGAAAGUGACGGUACCUGCAGAAGAAG